rnacentral:rRNA from 1 species
AGUUUGAUUAUGGCUCAGAUUGAACGCUGGCGGGAUGCUUUACACAUGCAAGUCGAACGGCAGCACUGACUUUGGUCUGGUGGCGAGUGGCGAACGGGUGAGUAAUGUAUCGGAACGUGCCUAGUAGCGGGGAUAACUACGCGAAAGCGUAGCUAAUACCGCAUACGCCCUUCGGGGAAAGCGGGGGACCUUUCGCCUCGCACCUAUUAGAGCGGCCGAUAUCGGAUUAGCUAGUUGGUGGGGUAACGGCUCAUCAAGGCGACGAUCCGUAGCUGGUUUGAGAGGACGACCAGCCACACUGGGACUGAGACACGGCCCAGACUCCUACGGGAGGCAGCAGUGGGGAAUUUUGGACAAUGGGGGAAACCCUGAUCCAGCCAUCCCGCGUGUGCGAUGAAGGCCUUCGGGUUGUAAAGCACUUUUGAGUAGAAGAAACGGUACUGGAUAAUACCCCGUGCAACCUGACGGUACCUGCAGAAUAAGCACCGGCUAACCACGUGCCAGCAGCCGCGGUAAUACGUGUAGGGUGCAAGCGUUAACGGAAUUACUGGGCGUAAAGCGUGCGCAGGCGUCUGGAAAGUGAAAGAUGUGAAAUCCCAGAGCUUAACUUUGGAAUUCUCCGCAUUUUAACUACUGAGCUUUAGAGUGUGUCAGAGGGAGGUGGAAUUCUGCGUGUAGCAGUGAAAUGCGUAGAUAUGCGGAGAACAACAUUGGCGAAGGCAGCAUUUCCGGAUAACACUGACGCUCAUGCACGAAAGCGUGGGGAGCAAACAGGAUUAGAUACCCUGGUAGUCCACGCCCUAAACGAUGUCAACUAGCUGUUGGGGCCGGCCUUGGCAUGCAGCUAAUGCAGUUGACUGCCUGGGGAGUACGGUCGCAAAGACAAAACUCAAAGGAAUUGGAUGAAUUCUGCACAAGCGGUGAUGAUGUGAUUAAUUGAUGCGUGCAACGCGAAGAACCUUACCUACCCCGAUAGCUGUUCGAACUCGAGAUUUGGGAGUGCCUUUGCAGAGGAACCGGAACACAGGUGCUGUAUGGCUGUCGUCAGCUCGUGGUCGUGAGAUGUUGGGUUAAGUCCCGCAACGAGCGCAACCCUUUGUCAUUAGUUGCUACGAAAGGGCACUCUAAUGAGACUGCCGGUGACAAACCGAGAAGCGUGGGGAUGACGUCAAGUCCUCAUGGCCCUUAUGGGUAGGGCUUCACACGUCAUACAAUGGUCGGGACAGAGGGUCGCCAACCCGCGAGGGGGAGCCAAUCCCAGAAACCCGAUCAACCGAUCUGCAGGCCUGCACCGACUGCGUGAGUCGGAAUCACAGUAACGUGAUCAGCAUGUCGCGGUGAAUACGUUCCCCGGGUCUUGUACACACCGCCCGUCACACCAUGGGAGUGGGUUUUACCAGAAGUAGUUAGCCUAACCGUAAGGAGGGCGAUUACCACGGUAGGAUCAUGAUCAGUGAAGUCGUAACAAGGUAG